rnacentral:rRNA from 1 species
UACGGAGGGUGCGAGCGUUACCCGGAUUUACUGGGUGUAAAGGGCGUUUAGGCGGUCUCUCAAGUCCGAUGCUAAAGACCGAGGCUCAACCUCGGGAGUGCGUUGGAUACUGUGAGGCUAGACGGUCGGAGAGGGCAGCGGAAUUCUCGGAGUAGCGGUGAAAUGCGCAGAUACCGAGAGGAACGCCAAUAGCGAAGGUAGCUGCCGGGACGAUUUGUUACGCUGAGGCGCGAAAGCGUGGGGAGCAAACCGG